rnacentral:rRNA from 1 species
AGAAUCAACGCUGGCGGCGUGCCUAACACAUGCAAGUCGAACGAGAAAGUGGAGCAAUCCAUGAGUACAGUGGCGUACGGGUGAGUAACACGUGACUAACCUACCCUCGAGUGGGGAAUAAACCUCGGGAAACCGGGGCUAAUACCGCAUAACAUCUUCGGAUCAAAUGCGUAAGCAGCUUGAGGAGGGGGUCGCGGCCGAUUAGCUAGUUGGCGGGGUAAUGGCCCACCAAGGCAAUGAUCGGUAGCCGGCCUGAGAGGGCGCACGGCCACACUGGAACUGAAACACGGUCCAGACUCCUACGGGAGGCAGCAGUGGGGAAUUUUGCGCAAUGGGGGAAACCCUGACGCAGCAACGCCGCGUGGAGGAUGAAGCCCCUUGGGGUGUAAACUCCUUUCGAUCGGGACGAUUAUGACGGUACCGGAUGGAAGAAGCACCGGCUAACUCUGCGCCAGCAGCCGC